rnacentral:rRNA from 1 species
GUGCCAGCAGCCGCGGUAAUACGUAGGGGGCAAGCGUUAAUCGGAAUUACUGGGCGUAAAGCGUGCGCAGGCGGUUUUGUAAGCCAGAUGUGAAAGCCCCGGGCUUAAUCUGGGAAUGGCAUUGGAAACUGGCGAGCUGGAGUGUGGCAGAGGGGGGUGGAAUUCCGCGUGUAGCAGUGAAAUGCGUAGAGAUGCGGAGGAACACCGAUGGCGAAGGCAGCCCCCUGGGCCAACACUGACGCUCAGGCACGAAAGCGUGGGGAGCAAACAGGAUUAGAUACCCUGGUAGUCCACGCCCUAAACGAUGGCAACUGGGUGUUGGGGAAGCGAUUCCUUGGUACCGUAGCUAACGCGUGAAGUUGCCCGCCUGGGGAGUACGGCCGCAAGGUUAAAACUCAAAGGAAUUGACGG